rnacentral:lncRNA from 1 species
GACUUUUGGGAUAGCAUUGGAAAUGUAAUUGAGGAAAAUACGUAAUAAAAAAAUAUUUAAAAAGAAAAAAAAAGAGCUCUGAUUAUACUAAACUGGCCUACCAGAAUUCUCCCUAAGGCCAGGUCAAAAUUUUAGACAAGGAUGUGGGUGAACUUCAUCAUGUUCCAUGGGUAAGGGGUAAUACUGCUUAAAUUAUCAGAAUUCUUGUUUAAAAAAAAAAAUAAGUAAACAACUAUGCAGGCUGGAAGCCAGUAUCAAAGAAAAGAUUUUUAUUUUCAUUUUAGAAAGUCAAAGGAAUGUACUUAAAGUUUGUUCAAAAGGAGUUUGCCAGCCUCUGAGAAUAAGCUAUUUUCAUUCAAAGUUGUAUUGAUUUAAACCCAAUAUGGACUGGUGCUAGAAUGAGGCAGAACAUUGCGGUAGGAGGGCAAGGUGGAACACAACCACAUCAUGGACAGGAAGUACAAGGCAGGAAGUGCAAGACAGGAAAUGCAAGACAGGAAAAAGAACCUAGGAUUACAUGAAUUCAAUAGCAUGUCCUCAAAUUCCUGAAAGUCUUUCACUAGCUCCACUUCCUAAUAGCUCCACCUCAUCCACUCUACUAUAGUAGUGUCAUGGUAGAAAGCAAACCAUUGACAUGUGGACCUUUGGGGAUAUGGCAGAUUUGAAAUCACCUAGGAGACAAGCCUCUGGGAAGGUGUUUGUAGAGUUUCCAGAGAGUAUUAAUGGAGGAAGGUAUACCCACCCUGAAUGUGGCAGCACCAUCCCAUGGGCUAGGGUCCUAGCCUAAAGAAGAAGAAAGGCCAUCUGGAAACCAGACUCCCAUGCUCUCUUCCUGCUCUGUCUAGGUGUGAAGAGCCCCAGUUUUGCACACCCCCACCCCCACCAUGUCCUCUGCCAUGCCUUCAUGACUGUGAUGGCAUGUGACCAUGACUUCUUGAGCCAAAAUAAACUAUCUUCCCUCAAGCUCCUCACUGUUGGGGACCACAGCAGUGACAAAAGUAACUAACACAGGAGGAUUGGUUACAAAAUCAACACAGGAGGAUUAGCUACAAAAGUAACUAACACAGGAGGAUUGGUUACAAAAUUAACUAACACAUGAACCAUCCAGAUCCUAACUGUAACAAUGAGAGUAUAGAGAAGAACUGGAAAAUCACUUCUACUUUUCAUUACUUAUUUUAUUUAGACUAUGGCAGACAUUAAUGAUUGUUCUAUUUGGAGAAUUACCUAUCAGAGCUGUAGUUAUAAUUUUUUGAGUGAGUCACCUUAUAAGCGUAUAGCAAGCAAAAGUAAAAGAACAAAUAGCAAGUGGUGGGUACAUAGCAGAACAUCUAAUCAGGCACUAUAGCAUCCAGAAAUAAUAAUCUUGCUCAUCCGUGCCGUGGGAUACACAAUAGUGGCCUCUAUUGGAAAUGAUUUACUUCCUAGCUAUUCUCAAAGGUACAGUGUUUCUCAUACCCUUUGCCAGAUUGCUGUUCUCUCUCUUUAUCACAGUGUCAGGGAGGCAGCCUAUUCCAGGACAAGAAAUCUCAGAGAGGCAUUUAGAUAAACAAACAAAAGUCUGAGACAAAGGUUCUUGCUUUGUUCUCAGAGUCUGCUCACAAGAAACACAAAUAGCUCAUGACAAUUUACCAAUAUAACUUAUGCU